rnacentral:rRNA from 1 species
UACGUAGGGUCCGAGCGUUGUCCGGAAUUACUGGGCGUAAAGAGCUCGUAGGUGGUUUGUCGCGUUGUCCGUGAAAACUCACAGCUCAACUGUGGGCGUGCGGGCGAUACGGGCAGACUGGAGUACUGCAGGGGAGACUGGAAUUCCUGGUGUAGCGGUGGAAUGCGCAGGAUAUCAGGAGGAACACCGAUGGCGAAGGCAGGUCACUGGGCCGCAACUGACGCUGGAGGAAGCGGAAAGCAUGGGGAGCGAACAGG